rnacentral:rRNA from 1 species
GAACCGGAACACAGGUGCUGCAUGGCUGUCGUCAGCUCGUGUCGUGAGAUGUUGGGUUAAGUCCCGCAACGAGCGCAACCCUUGUCAUUAGUUGCCAUCAUUUGGUUGGGCACUCUAAUGAGACUGCCGGUGACAAACCGGAGGAAGGUGGGGAUGACGUCAAGUCCUCAUGGCCCUUAUGGGUAGGGCUUCACACGUCAUACAAUGGUCGGUACAGAGGGUUGCCAACCCGCGAGGGGGAGCUAAUCCCACAAAGCCGAUCGUAGUCCGGAUCGCAGUCUGCAACUCGACUGCGUGAAGUCGGAAUCGCUAGUAAUCGUGGAUCAGCAUGUCACGGUGAAUACGUUCCCGGGUCGUU